rnacentral:rRNA from 1 species
GAUGAACGCUGGCGGCGUGCCUAAUACAUGCAAGUCGAGCGAACAGAUAAGGAGCUUGCUCCUUUGACGUUAGCGGCGGACGGGUGAGUAACACGUGGGUAACCUAUCUAUAAGACUGGAAUAACUCCGGGAAACCGGGGCUAAUGCCGGAUAACAUGUUGAACCGCAUGGUUCUACAGUGAAAGGCGGCUUUGCUGUCACUUAUAGAUGGACCCGCGCCGUAUUAGCUAGUUGGUGAGGUAACGGCUCACCAAGGCAACGAUACGUAGCCGACCUGAGAGGGUGAUCGGCCACACUGGAACUGAGACACGGUCCAGACUCCUACGGGAGGCAGCAGUAGGGAAUCUUCCGCAAUGGGCGAAAGCCUGACGGAGCAACGCCGCGUGAGUGAUGAAGGUCUUCGGAUCGUAAAACUCUGUUAUUAGGGAAGAACAAAUGCGUAAGUAACUGUGCGCGUCUUGACGGUACCUAAUCAGAAAGCCACGGCUAACUACGUG